GCGGUUGUGGCGGAAUUGGCAGACGCGCUAGAUUCAGGUUCUAGUAGUCGCAAGACUGUGGGGGUUCGAGUCCCUUCAUCCGCACCA
rnacentral:tRNA from 1 species